rnacentral:rRNA from 1 species
AACGAACGCUGGCGGCGUGCCUAACACAUGCAAGUCGAACGAGAAAUCCUGGGCAACUGGGAAAGUAAAGUGGCGCACGGGUGAGUAACGCGUGGGUAACCUAACCUUCAAUUGGGGAUAACUCUUCGAAAGGAGAGUUAAUACCGAAUACCAUGCUUAUUCCUUAGGGAGUUUGUAUCAAAGGUGGCCUCUGCAUGCAAGCUACCGUUGGAGGAUGGGCCCGCGUACCAUUAGCUUGUUGGUAGGGUAAUGGCCUACCAAGGCAACGAUGGUUAGCUGGUCUGAGAGGAUGGCCGGCCACACUGGAACUGAGACACGGUCCAGACUCCUACGGGAGGCAGCAGUGGGGAAUCUUGCGCAAUGGGGGAAACCCUGACGCAGCAACGCCGCGUGGGUGAGGAAGGCCUUCGGGUCGUAAAGCCCUGUCAGGUGGGAAGAAACAUGUCGAUACGAAUAAUAUCGGCACUUGACGGUACCACCGGAGGAAGCACCGGCUAACUCCGUGCCAGCAGCCGCAGUAAUAC